GAUGAAGAACGUAGCGAAAUGCGAUAAGUAAUGUGAAUUGCAGAAUUCCGUGAAUCAUCGAAUCUUUGAACGCAUAUUGCGCCCUCUGGUAUUCCAUGGGGCAUGCCUGUUCGAGCGUCAUUUGUACCUUCAAGCCUUGCUUGGUGUUGGGUGUUUGUCUCGCCUCUGCGCGCAGACUCGCCUCAAAACAAUUGGCAGCCGGCGUAUUGAUUUCGGAGCGCAGUACAUCUCGCGCUUUGCACUCAGAACGACGACGUCCAAAAGUACAUUUUUACACUCUUGACCUCGGAUCAGGUAGGGAUACCCGCUGAACUUAAGCAUAUCAAUAAGCGGAGGA
rnacentral:misc_RNA from 1 species